rnacentral:rRNA from 1 species
UACGUAGGUGGCAAGCGUUGUUCGGAAUUACUGGGCGUAAAGGGCGCGUAGGCGGCCGCCUAAGUCAGACGUGAAAUCCCUCGGCUCAACCGGGGAACUGCGUCUGAUACUGGGUGGCUUGAAUCCGGGAGAGGGAUGCGGAAUUCCAGGUGUAGAGGUGAAAUUCGUAGAUAUUCGGAGGAACACCAGAGGCGAAGGCGGCCAACUGGUCCGGUACUGACGCUGAGGCGCGAAAGCGUGGGGAGCAAACAGG